GGUUUCGCGGUAGCUCAAUGGGGAGAGCAUCGCACUAGUAAUGCGAAGACGUGGGUUCGUUCCCCACCUCCGGACCG
rnacentral:tRNA from 1 species